GGAUAGCUCAGCUGGUUAGAGUGUGGUGCUGAUAACACCAGGGUUGCAGGUUCAAUGCCUGUUUGGGAUG